rnacentral:lncRNA from 1 species
AAAAUCAAAAACACAAAACGAAAACAAAAAAGCAAAAAAGGAAACAAAAAGAGGACUACUUAAAUAAAAGAGAAGGAAAAAAGCUUAGGCCGUUUUUUUUUUUUUAAAAAAAAAGGCAUAUUCUGGGCCCAAACCAUUUACCCUCCACUCCCAAGUCCAAUCCAACACGAACCCUAUCCGCCCCAGCAAUUAAUAAAAACGACACCAUUUUUUCCCUGUGCAAUUCCAGCCUUUGAUCCCUUUUAAUCUGACGGCCCCAAUUCUCUCUUAUGAUUUAAUGUAAUUGUCCUAAAAUCACUAACCAUACACCACCCACUCUCGUCUUCCUCGUACUGUCUCUGCACCUCGCCGGAGCCGCCACCGGCAAUGAAUGCCACCACCACUAAUGGCCGCUAGAUUAACACCCCAACUUCUCCUCUUUCCUCUCAUCUCGAUUCCAUGGUCCAUUUCCUUCUAAUCCCAGCCCCGGUUGUCGAAUAAUCGAUCAAAUGUUUCUGGCCACGACGCCAAUUACUCCCAAUUGUACCAAAUUACACCGUAGGAUCGCCACACCCCCCUCUAUCAAAUCCCCAUAACCCCAUGUCUCGAAUGUGCCUGGAAUGGGUCGAAUAUUGAAUUAAAUAUUUCCGGCUAAAACCCUAGAUAAUCCAACCCUUACCAAAUUAGUAUCAUAGGUUUCCUUGGGCUGCCCUCAUAAGGAUUUCAGUGCCAAAAUAUUUCAAAUGUCCCCGUAAAUGGCCAGUGUUGAAUUUCAGUUAACCGAAUUCUUGUUGAAAUCGUUUCAAUUCUAGUGAGUUUUUUUCUUGGAGUAUUUCUCUUAUUUUUUGUUGUUAUUCUCUCUAAUGUUAGUCUCCAGUUUAAUGUGUGUCACUUGUUGUUAAUUCUCUUCUAGUUAUGUACUUAACUGCUUAUUUUUUUAGAUUUUAGCUAAAGUCUGCUUUUUAUUUCUUUUCUAUUUGACUUUCAUUUCUAGUAUUUGUCCUGAUUAAUUAAUGCUUUGGUAGGAUAGAUUUUUAUUUCAGUGUCAUUUCUGUUGUUUUGUGGUCUCACCAGUGAUCAUUCUGUGUGCAUUAUAUUUUUUACUUAUUAGUUAGAUUAGUGUAAGUUUAAUGGUACUUGUUUAGCUUUGAUGGUUCGUCCUGUUGCAUUGAUAAUCAGGCAGCAAUUAAUUAGGAUUUCAGUUGUUAGCUGUAGUUCAAUUCGUAGUCUAGAAAGUAGUUUGGUCAUAAGGACAGAAGGGUAAUUCAGGGAAAAUGGUAGGGGCAGAAUGGGGAAUACACAUGGGGAAAUUCAGCUAGGUCAUCCUAGAACCUUCUAGAUAAGAGGCAAGGUUAGAAU